rnacentral:rRNA from 1 species
UUUAUGGAGAGUUUGAUCCUGGCUCAGGAUGAACGCUGGCGGCGUGCCUAAUACAUGCAAGUCGAGCGAACGGACGAGAAGCUUGCUUCUCUGAUGUUAGCGGCGGACGGGUGAGUAACACGUGGAUAACCUGCCUAUAAGACUGGGAUAACUUCGGGAAACCGGAGCUAAUACCGGAUAAUAUUUUGAACCGCAUGGUUCAAAAGUGAAAGACGGUCUUGCUGUCACUUAUAGAUGGAUCCGCGCUGCAUUAGCUAGUUGGUAAGGUAACGGCUUACCAAGGCAACGAUGCAUAGCCGACCUGAGAGGGUGAUCGGCCACACUGGAACUGAGACACGGUCCAGACUCCUACGGGAGGCAGCAGUAGGGAAUCUUCCGCAAUGGGCGAAAGCCUGACGGAGCAACGCCGCGUGAGUGAUGAAGGUCUUCGGAUCGUAAAACUCUGUUAUUAGGGAAGAACAUAUGUGUAAGUAACUGUGCACAUCUUGACGGUACCUAAUCAGAAAGCCACGGCUAACUACGUGCCAGCAGCCGCGGUAAUACGUAGGUGGCAAGCGUUAUCCGGAAUUAUUGGGCGUAAAGCGCGCGUAGGCGGUUUUUUAAGUCUGAUGUGAAAGCCCACGGCUCAACCGUGGAGGGUCAUUGGAAACUGGAAAACUUGAGUGCAGAAGAGGAAAGUGGAAUUCCAUGUGUAGCGGUGAAAUGCGCAGAGAUAUGGAGGAACACCAGUGGCGAAGGCGACUUUCUGGUCUGUAACUGACGCUGAUGUGCGAAAGCGUGGGGAUCAAACAGGAUUAGAUACCCUGGUAGUCCACGCCGUAAACGAUGAGUGCUAAGUGUUAGGGGGUUUCCGCCCCUUAGUGCUGCAGCUAACGCAUUAAGCACUCCGCCUGGGGAGUACGACCGCAAGGUUGAAACUCAAAGGAAUUGACGGGGACCCGCACAAGCGGUGGAGCAUGUGGUUUAAUUCGAAGCAACGCGAAGAACCUUACCAAAUCUUGACAUCCUUUGACAACUCUAGAGAUAGAGCUUUCCCCUUCGGGGGACAAAGUGACAGGUGGUGCAUGGUUGUCGUCAGCUCGUGUCGUGAGAUGUUGGGUUAAGUCCCGCAACGAGCGCAACCCUUAAGCUUAGUUGCCAUCAUUAAGUUGGGCACUCUAAGUUGACUGCCGGUGACAAACCGGAGGAAGGUGGGGAUGACGUCAAAUCAUCAUGCCCCUUAUGAUUUGGGCUACACACGUGCUACAAUGGACAAUACAAAGGGCAGCGAAACCGCGAGGUCAAGCAAAUCCCAUAAAGUUGUUCUCAGUUCGGAUUGUAGUCUGCAACUCGACUACAUGAAGCUGGAAUCGCUAGUAAUCGUAGAUCAGCAUGCUACGGUGAAUACGUUCCCGGGUCUUGUACACACCGCCCGUCACACCACGAGAGUUUGUAACACCCGAAGCCGGUGGAGUAACCUUUUAGGAGCUAGCCGUCGAAGGUGGGACAAAUGAUUGGGGUGAAGUCGUAACAAGGUAGCCGUAUCGGAAGGUGCGGCUGGAUCACCUCCUUUCU